AAGGUGCAGGAGAGACCUCUUCACUGGACCAGGAUAAGGUGCAGGAGAGACCUCUUCACUGGACCAGGAUAAGGUGCAGGAGAGACCUCUUCACUGGACCAGGAUAAGGUGCAGGAGAGACCUCUUCACUGGACCAGGAUAAGGUGCAGGAGAGACCUCUUCACUGGACCAGGAUAAAACCAGAGGAACAGGGACUUGAGGCCAUGGCAGAGCAGGGGGAAGCCCAGGGGACAGGAGAGGAACCACGCACACCCAACACGCCAUCCCUGAACCACCGGGGGACAGGAGAGGAACCACGAACACCCAACACGCCAUCCCUGAACCACCGGGGGA